rnacentral:rRNA from 1 species
CCUACGGGUGGCAGCAGUCGAGAAUUUUUCUCAAUGGGCGCAAGCCUGAAGGAGCGACGCCGCGUGGGGGAUGAAGGGUUUCGAUCCGUAAACCCCUGUCAUUUGUGAACUAGUAAUGAAAGAGGAAGGGACGGCUAACUCUGUGCCAGCAGCCGCGGUAAUACAGAGGUCCCGAGCGUUGUUCGGAUUCACUGGGCGUAAAGGGUGCGUAGGUGGCCAUGAAAGUUCGAUGUGAAAUCUCCGGGCUUAACCCGGAAAAGGCAUUGAAAACUCUGUGGCUGGAGGUUUGGAGGGGGGACUGGAAUUCUCGGUGUAGCAGUGAAAUGCGUAGAUAUCGAGAGGAACACCAGUGGCGAAGGCGGGUCCCUGGCACACCUGACACUGAGGCACGAAAGCUAGGGGAGCAAACAGGAUUAGAUACCCUUGUAGUC